AUGCUCUUUCACUCCUUUUUCAAGUCCCCUGUGGGCAAGGAUGUAGUCAUGGAACCCAAGAAUGACCUGAGCAUCUGUGGAACCCUCCACUCCGUGGACCAGUACCUCAAAAUCAAACUAGCCGACAUCAGCACCACAGACCCUGAGAAAUACCUUCACAUGUUAUCAGUCAAGAACCGCUUCAUCAGCUCUGUGCAGCCUCCAGCAGAUGCGGAGGACACACAGCUGCUCCACAGGAUGCAGUGGGGAAGGAAGCCCUUCAGCAAACAGUGAUGGCACCUCUCCCCUCCCCCUCACUUCCCCAUCAACCCAUAACUUGA